rnacentral:rRNA from 1 species
CCUACGGGUGGCAGCAGUGGGGAAUAUUGGACAAUGGGGGUACCCUGAUCCAGCGACGCCGCGUGAGUGAAGAAGUACUUUGGUAUUUAAAGCUCUAAUAGCAGGGAAGAAAGAAAUGACGGGACCUUACUUAGAAGGCCCGGCUAAAUACGGACCAGGAGCCGCGGUAAUACGUAGGGGGCAAGCGGUUACCGGAUUUACGGGGUGUAAAGGGAGGGUAGACGGUUACGCAAGUCUGGAGUGAAAGGCGGGGGCCCAACCCCCGGACUGCUUUGGAAACUGUAUAACUGGAGUGCAGGAGAGGUAAGUGGAAUUCCUAGUGUAGCGGUGAAAUGCGUAGAUAUUAGGAGGAACACCAGUGGCGAAGGCGGCUUACUGGACUGUAACUGACGUUGAGGCUCGAAAGCGUGGGGAGCAAACAGGAUUAGAUACCCUUGUAGUC